UCCCUCUCAGGGUUACACCCGGAGAGUUUCAAGAACUCUACCAGUCUUGACUACGGGAGGGAGAAUCAAGCAGAAGCAUACCCAUUUCAUUCCUAACUUGAGCAGUGGCUAGCGGGUGGAAGGCAAUCUGCUACAAGU